rnacentral:rRNA from 1 species
GAUUAACGCUGGCGGCGUGCCUAACACAUGCAAGUCGAACGAGGUAGCAAUACCUAGUGGCAGACGGGUGAGUAACGCGUGGUCAACCUACCGUUGAGUGGGGGAGUAACUAGCCGAAGGUUAGCUAAUACCGCAUACGUCUCCGAGGGGCGAUCCCUUGGCGAUAAAAGGAAGCAAUCCGCUCGAUGACGGGACCGCGUCCCAUUAGCUAGAUGGUGGGGUAACGGCCUACCAUGGCACCGAUGGGUAGCUGGUUUGAGAGAGCGACCAGCCACACUGGGACUGAGAAACGGCCCAGACUCCUACGGGAGGCAGCAGUGAGGAAUUUUCCGCAAUGGGCGCAAGCCUGACGGAGCGACGCCGCGUGUGGGAAG